rnacentral:tRNA from 1 species
AAGAAAGUGGCAGCUGGCAAUGCGCCUGGCUUGAAAUCAGGUAAAGGGGGUUCGAUUCCUUCUUUUCUCG